AAUGAACGUUGGCGGCAUGGAUUAGGCAUGCAAGUCGAGCGAGAAGGGUUUUGAAGCUUGCUUUAGAACCCGGAAAGCGGCGAAAGGGAGAGUAACGAGUAGUUAUCUACCCCAAGGCCCGGAAUAGCUGCGGGAAACUGCAGGUAAUGCCGGAUAAUAUCCCCGGAUCAAAGGUGUGAUUCCGCCUUGGGAGGAGACUGCUUUGUACUAGCUUGUUGGUAGGGUAAUGGCCUACCAAGGCUACGAUGCAUAGCGGGCGUGAGAGCGUAGCCCGUCUCACUGGGACUGAAACACUGCCCAGACACCUACGGGUGGCUGCAGUCGAGAAUCUUCGGCAAUGGGCGAAAGCCUGACCGAGCGAUGCCGCGUGCGGGAUGAAGGCCCUCGGGUUGUAAACCGCUGUCGUAGAGGAGAAAGGUCUCGUGAAGAGCGAGAUUUGAUCUAUUCUAGGAGGAAGUCAGGGCUAAGUUCGUGCCAGCAGCCGCCGCAG
rnacentral:rRNA from 1 species